rnacentral:rRNA from 1 species
GACGAACGCUGGCGACGUGCUUAACACAUGCAAGUCGAGCGAGGAACUUCGGUUCCUAGCGGCGAACGGGUGAGUAACACGUGGGCAACCUGCCCCGAGCUCUGGGAUAACUUCGGGAAACCGGGGCUAAUACCGGAUAUGACACUAGUGGACAUCUGGUGGUGUGGAAAGAUUUAUCGGCUUGGGAUGGGCCCGCGGCCUAUCAGCUUGUUGGUGGGGUAACGGCCUACCAAGGCGACGACGGGUAGCCGGCCUGAGAGGGCGAUCGGCCACACUGGGACUGAGACACGGCCCAGACUCCUACGGGAGGCAGCAGUGGGGAAUAUUGCGCAAUGGGCGGAAGCCUGACGCAGCGACGCCGCGUGGGGGAUGAAGGCC